UCUUUUUACUCGCGGCUUAUCGAUGUUAUUAGAAGAAACAGUUAUCCGGUCGAGAGACUUAUCUGGCUAAUUUAUCGCUGUCCAGUUAUGGUGUUUUCCGGCUUUUCCUCCUGGCCAUUCAAGAAGUGCGGAGAUUGAAUUAUUCUUGAUACAGUAUCAAAAAUAUCUCCAGUUACACCAAAACUGGACAAUUCCACAUGAAGUCCAGCCCUAAUGGCUUCAAUCAUGUGAUUGACGACUGUAUUAACUGACAGCCCUCUUUCUGAAGCAAUAGCAUUUAAAUCUCUUGUUCCAUUGUUGGAUAGAGCAUAAGUUUCUUGGACAGUACUUUUCAGGUUUCUCAUUGCAGAUAAAGGUAAAAGAAAACUCAUAAAUUACCUCUACUUUAUCAUGGACAAAUUCACGAUGUGCCUUCUUUCGUUGCUCAGGUGUCAUCCCAGCAUGAUAAAUCUGACAGGAAACUUUCAUAUCUGAAAGGUCUAUCUUCACUGAUCACUGAUCGAGCUAUCUUUUAUCAUUGUUUGCAAGCUUACAGCAUCCACAAUGAUCAAUUCAAGAAUAUAUCCUGCUGAAAUUUGUUCUCAUCUAGAAUUAAUUAAAUAGCAAAGGAAGAAUAGCAUCAUUACAGAAAUUUUUGUAUUCUAUUUUCUUGUCACAGACAUUCAUUUGCUGCUCACUACUAUUUUAAAUGGUUUGGAGAUUUCAGCAAUAUGUUUUAGCCAUUUGUGCACCACAUAUCUCCUGACCUACAUACUUUAUAAAUUACUAAACAAACACCAAAAACCAACAUACUAUUUUAAGAAACUAUGGAUUUAGAUAAUG